CUCCUCCUCCUCCUCUUCCUCGGCUGAUGCCAGAGUGCCAGGAACAGGGUCCCUGGAGCCCCGAACAGGUGACCUGGCCCUCUGUCCCAGCAAGAUCGCCCAGGAGGGAGAAGAGAGGGACCGCGCGGGGGCUGCCUCCUUCCAGGCCCCUGAAACAGCAGCAGAGCCCUCCUUCCAAAAUGUGCCCCUCCCACCAUGAAUGGAACUGUCCUUCCCCCCCCCCGGCCAGUCCCUCCCCCCCUCCCGGCCCCUUUCACUCCAGCCCAUCCGAGGCUCCAACUGCAAGCUUUCCCCAAUAAAGGAAAUGUGGGGGCCGGUUUAA